GCAUUGCCUACUGUCCUAUGAAUUUUUGGGGGAUUUUAUAAAACAGAAUUUGCUCCCUCUGGUGGUGCCCUUGAACCAUGAGACAUUGAAGCAAUUGAUAGAUAAGGAGAGGAAAAUUGUCCUGAAAAUCACAGGUGAUUUGAAUGAAGAACAAUCACAGAACUUGAUCAAGUUAUUGAAGGCUGCUGCAUCUGCAAAUCGUGACUUGGUAUUUGGUUAUGUUGGGGUUAAGCAAUGGGAAGACUUUGCUAAUAAAUUUGGGGCCAAUGAGAAGACAAAGUUGCCAAAAAUGAUUGUCUGCAAUGGAGAUGUUAAUGGUAUUGAAAGCCUUGAUAACGAGGAUCAGGGGCCUCAAAUCUCACUGUUCCUGAAGGAUAUAGAAAAGGAAGAACAGAAAGGAAAACGGGGCAUCAUUUAUGGGCUUUAUCAAUUCACUAAUUGGCAUUAGAACUGUUUACAUAAUUGUCUUUAUCGUUGCAAUGAUGAUCCUUAUACAAAGUAUUGGUAAAGACCACGAACCUCUCCGGGUUGGCAGUCGAGAUGAGGCUGAUCAUGCUAAGAGCUCUGAGGCUGAAAGCAGUCAUAUGGAGCUAAGAAAGAAGAUUAAACUUAGGCAUCUUCCUGGUUGAGAUAUAGCAACAGAAAAAGAUACGUAUGAAAUAGAGUUGUUGUGCAGGGAUCAAACCUGUUAACAAUGCUAUGCUGAAACCGAUUAUUCCUGCUUUCUCGACAUGUAUUUUGCUGUGUUCAAUGCAGGCAGUCUUGUUUCAAGAACUUGAGUGUUAAGGAGUAAUGGUAUGUAUUUAUCAACAGUCCUUGUUCUUUCCUCUGAACACUGUUAUUGCACAUUCAUGGGUUUAUUAUUUUCUUUAUUUUCCAUAGCUUUGCAAUUUUUCUUCAAUAAUGUACUAUUUUUUUGAUGAAUCAAGUGAUGUACAAUAAUUGUUUCAUUUCAAUCUAGUUCUGUUACAGGAAGUGUAUGGUGUGUCUUUUCUUGUUUUUCUAUUUAGCCGUAAAGAGUUUGUGAGCUUGGAUCAGUAUAUUUCUUCUUUGAGUUAGUCCAAACGGACUUCUUUAUAUCGAAGUUAAUGAAUUCAUGAAAAAUUAUCUUCCCACAAUCUCCCAACGAAUACGAACACAGACAAAAAAAAAA